GUGAAUCAUCGAAUUUUUGAACGCAAAUUGCACUCUCCUCGGAGAGGAUGCCUGUUUGAGGGUCAGCCUAUAAAAAAUCGACAUCGUUGCUGUUUAGCGGUGGCGUUCGUCGGAAAUCGGGUCAUCUUAAAUCCUUUUGGUUUUUAAGCGACUUAAAAUUUUCUUUUUGGUUCCAUGAACGUUUCUAAGAUUUAUUUCUUUACUCGUUUAAGGGAUCGAUUUUUAUUAGACGUUAACAUCAUAUCAGAUAUCGUCUA
rnacentral:misc_RNA from 1 species